UACGUAGGGGGCAAGCGUUGUCCGGAAUUAUUGGGCGUAAAGCGCGUGUAGGCGGUCCGCUAAGUCGGCUGUGAAAGCCCACGGCUCAACCGUGGAGGGUCAUUGGAAACUGGAGAACUUGAGUACAGAAGAGGAAAGCUGAAUUCCACGUGUAGCGGUGAAAUGCGUAGAGAUGUGGAGGAACACCAGUGGCGAAGGCGGCUUUCUGGUCUGUAACUGACGCUGAGGCGCGAAAGCGUGGGGAGCAAACAGG
rnacentral:rRNA from 1 species